GAGCCGUUAGCUCAGUCGGUAGAGCACCUGACUUUUAAUCAGGGGGUCCAGGGUUCGAAUCCCUGACGGCUCACCA
rnacentral:tRNA from 4 species